GAUGAACGCUGGCUACAGGCUUAACACAUGCAAGUCGAGGGGAAACGGCGUUGAGUGCUUGCACUGAAUGGACGUCGACCGGCGCACGGGUGAGUAACGCGUAUCCAACCUUCCCGUUACUGCGGGAUAACCUGCCGAAAGGCAGACUAAUACCGCAUGUUCUUCGAUGACGGCAUCAGAUUCGAAGCAAAGACUCGUCGGUAACGGAGGGGGAUGCGUCUGAUUAGCUUGUUGGCGGGGCGACGACCCACCAAGGCGACGAUCAGUAGGGGUUCUGAGAGGAAGGUCCCCCACAUUGGAACUGAGACACGGUCCAAACUCCUACGGGAGGCAGCAGUGAGGAAUAUUGGUCAAUGGGCGGAAGCCUGAACCAGCCAAGUAGCGUGCAGGACGACGGCCCUACGGGUUGUAAACUGCUUUUAUGCGGGGAUAAAGUGAGGGACGCGUCCCUUUUUGCAGGUACCGCAUGAAUAAGGACCGGCUAAUUCCGUGCCAGCAGCCGCGGUAAUACGGAAGGUCCGGGCGUUAUCCGGAUUUAUUGGGUUUAAAGGGAGCGUAGGCCGGGGAUUAAGUGUGUUGUGAAAUGUAGGCGCCCAACGUCUGACUUGCAGCGCAUACUGGUUCCCUUGAGUACGCGCAACGCCGGCGGAAUUCGUCGUGUAGCGGUGAAAUGCUUAGAUAUGACGAAGAACCCCGAUUGCGAAGGCAGCCGGCGGGAGCGCAACUGACGCUGAAGCUCGAAGGUGCGGGUAUCGAACAGG
rnacentral:rRNA from 1 species